rnacentral:rRNA from 1 species
UACGUAGGUGGCAAGCGUUGUCCGGAAUUAUUGGGCGUAAAGCGCGCGCAGGCGGUUCCUUAAGUCUGAUGUGAAAGCCCCCGGCUCAACCGGGGAGGGUCAUUGGAAACUGGGGAACUUGAGUGCAGAAGAGAAGAGCGGAAUUCCACGUGUAGCGGUGAAAUGCGUAGAGAUGUGGAGGAACACCAGUGGCGAAGGCGGCUCUUUGGUCUGUAACUGACGCUGAGGCGCGAAAGCGUGGGUAGCAAACAGG